rnacentral:lncRNA from 1 species
AACUGCUGAGCGCGGAAGAAACUCCCAAACAGCAGGCAAAACGGCUUGUAGAAAAUUUUCUUUAUUUGUACAAUGGCCAAUACAUAAUUUUAUUUGGGCGAUGGUCGAGCAUAUCGUGAGAUCCGAAGUCCGUUCUCACAAACAGGGACAUACAAACUACAACGAAAAGCAAUCGAGUUCAUUUCAAAGUUUUUCUAGGAUUUCUACAACGAGAAAUGAGGGCCAUCGCCACCAAGCAGAAGGUUGCCUUGGCCUUUGCUUUGGUCAUUCCAGCAUCUGCCAGCUGUGUACGUGUACAACAUUCAUAUGAAAAGGAAAAAAGGCGCUUCAAUCCAGCUGCACUUGUCUGAGCACUGCUUCAGCAACCCCUCCGCGAGGAAGCCACCUCCCUUCCUUGAGGAACCUUCAUCCCUUCCUUGAGGAACCCUCAUCACAACUCCGCCUCUCAGUUCCUGGUUUCAGUCCCCACCUUGUGCGUUGGGAUGCUUGAGUUCAUAUUAAUGUGUGUGCAGAGUCUCAUGACCCAGCUUGCACUUCCUGGAGAGUUGCUUUUUGCCUAGCCUUCCUCAAGGAAGGCCCCUACCCUCCGUGAGGAGGGGGUGCCUCCAGUAGGGC